AAUUUUCAUAGAAUAUGAUUGUGUAUGUCAACUUAAUAAGUUUUAAUUAAUUAUAAUGAUUAAAUUUGAUAAAAAAAAAUGAGAGAAUCGUUUAAAUUUUUAAAGUUUGAUUUACAUAUUAAAAUUAAAUAAAUUAAAAAUUUUAAAUGUGUCCAUUGAUAAGUUGAAGAAUUAUUGAAAAAUAUAAAAAUAUUAUAUGUAUCCACUUAUUUAUUUAUAGAUAGUAAAUUUAAAUGAUUAAUAAAAUUAUACCAUUAUUUUAUGUAUAAUGAAGAUAAUCUUACCACUCUAUCUAAAAAGGUGAUAAGAUUCACAAAUACAACUAUCAGCUUCAAAUUACCAAAUAGAAGAAAUGCAACUGCAACAGUUAUAUCAACACAAAACCAAACAAACUACAUAUAAUUACAACUGCUGCAUUUUCAACUGCAUGCAUUUUUAACUACACUGCAUUUACAACUACAUCCAACCAAACGGCCCCUUAAUGUUUGAAAAAUAUUA
rnacentral:lncRNA from 1 species